AACGCACGAGACCUGCGGACCUGCGGAGGGAUCAUUAAUGAGAAACUGCCCCUCGCGGGUAGAUCUCCCACCCUUUGUAAACUUACCUUUGUUGCUUUGGCAGGCCCGCCUCCGGACCGCCGGCUUCGGCUGGCCAGUGCCUGCCAGAGGAUUCUAAAACUCUGUCUGUCAGUGUUGUCUGAGUCUAUAUACAAUCGUUAAAACUUUUAACAACGGAUCUCUAGAUCGGAAGAGCACACG
rnacentral:misc_RNA from 1 species